GGAUGGUUAGGCUUGUGUUGCGAUGAAGGGCGUGGCAAGCUGCGAAAAGUCGCGGGUAGGAGCAUGCAUCCGUUAAACCGCGAAUUCCCGAAUUGUUUCGAAAGAAACGCGCACCCGCUGAAUUGAAAUAUCUUAGUAAGCGGAGGAAGAGAAACCAAUAGGGAUUCUGCGAGUAAUGCGAGUGAAAGCAGAAGAGGAUAAACCGAAUAUCUCCUGGUGACAGGAGAGAAGAUGUGGGGUUUUGGGUGAAGGCGUUAAACUUUGAAUUUUUGAAGAAAUGAAGUGGGAUGGAAAGCCCCGCGUUAAAAAGUGAUAGCCUUGUAGUUUCUUCAAAAACUCAAGUGCCUUUAUUCCAGAGUAGCGCUCUUUUACUAGAGUGUGAAGACGCGAGUUAUUAACUUGCAAUCCUAAAAUAUAAGCACAAGACCGAUAGCGUAGUUAGUACCGUGAGGGAAAACUGAAAAGCAACGCGUGAAGCGUGGUUAAAAAAGAACCUGAAACUGGACGGUGACAUUGAGAUGCGGCGUGAAAGGAAUGACGAGAGGACCAGCGUUGCAUCAUACUUCUCGAAGCAAGAGCCAAGGAGUUUAAGGGAGUGGCGAGUUAAAGCGAAGCGAAAGCGAGGAACACGCAAGUUUCGUAAGAAACCCAGGUGUUGAAGUUGUAAUUAGCUCCAAGCCACUAUCUUAAGACCUGAAGCCGAAGCGAUCUAUGCGCGGGCAAGGCGAAGCCAGUCGUAAGAUUGGUGGAGGCCUGCAACCGGUUCUGGUCUAUCCGAUCGGGUGACCCGCGUUUAGGGGUGAAAGUCCAUUCGAGCUUGGUAUUAGCAGGUUCCCUCCGAAGUGUCUGUCAGGACAGCCUAGCUGGAGGCGAGUGUUAGGUAGAGCAACCGAUUAAGAAGAAUGGGGGGUAAAACCCUCACUUUUUUAUCGAACUCCGAAGCUAGCACUGCUGUAGAAAGCUGGAGUCGGGGGUGCGGGGUAAGCUCGUACUCCUGUAGGGGAACAACCCAAACUGUGGUUAAGGUCCCAAAGAUGAGACUGAGUGUAAAUUUAAGAUGUUAGGUUUUUUAGACAGUGGAGAGGUAGGCUCAGAAGCAGCCAUCCUUUAAACAACGCGUAACAGCGGAUCCAUCAAGAAACCUUGCGUCGCAAACUGUCGGGACUAAGUCUCACACCGAUACCAUGGAAUUCUUUCAGUUUAGAAAGAAUUGGUAGGAGGGCGUGCUGUUAGAUGAGAAGCUUGUUCGUGAGGACAAGUGGAUUUAACAGCAAUGAAGAUCUUGGUGUUAGUAGCAUCAAAUUCAGGUGAGAAUCCUGAACGCCGGAAGGGCACGGGUUUCUUGACAACGUUUGUCGGUCAAGAGUUAGUCGGUCCUAACGCUUCACGUAUUAGUUGAGGCGGAAAGGGAAACACGUUAAUAUUCGCGUACCACGUGAAGCCGCGGUAACGCUUAAACAACAUUUGACGGUUGAGGGGAGGUCCAGCGCUUGUAUAAAGCGUUUAACGAGAUAAAGCGAGGAAGUCUUGUUAUGAGGAGCACUCGCUUAAGUAAGGAAUAGCCCAGCAAUGGGUUGGAUUUAACCCUUGACCCAGUGAAAAGAGUGUUGAUAAAUGGUUUUCACGUGACCGUACCUAGAACUAGUACAAGUGCCCCUAGCUGAAAAGGCUAAGGUGUGGCAGGAGAACCAAGGCAAGGGAAAUCGGCAAGUUAGCCUCUUAUCUUCGGUAUAAGGGGUGCCUACAUUCUUUCCUUUUACAGAAAUGUUUUAGGCGGGUUUGUAGGUUUCAAUAACAAGGGGGCGUCGACUGUUUAUCAAAAACAUAGCUCUCUGCUAGAUGGAAACGUUUUGUACAGAGGGCGACGCCUGCUCACUGGCAGCAUCUGAAACAGGGUUUCAACCUUGUGAAGGACUGUUAAAGAGCGGGACUAACUCUGAGUCUCUUAAGGUAGCGUAAUACCUCGCCGUUUAACUGACGGCUUGCAUGAAUGGCGUAACGAGCGUCCCACUGUCCCUGUCUUGGACCUGGCGAACUCACUUCUCGGUGAAUAUGCCGAGGACUUUUAGGGGGAAAUGAAGACCCCGUCGAGCUUAACUACAGUCUGCGGUUGAAUCGCGGUUUGAAAUGCAAAGCGUAAGCAGGAGCUGUUACAACGCAUCUUUUGGGGUGCGUUUAGGCGAAAGUGUGACACUGCUCUUUUUAGACUUCGAUUCUCACCUCUUUUUGAGGGACAGCUGCUGAUGGGUAGUUUGACUGGGGUGGUACGCCUUCGAUAAGAAAACAAAGGCGCCUUAAGGUCAACUCAUCAAGGUUAGAAAUCUUGAGCAGAGGGUUAAAAACAAAUGUUGGCCUGACUGUAACUUUAAAAAAAUGAGUUGCAGAUGCGAAAGCAGGGUUUAACGAACAAACACGCUCUUUUAAUAGGAGCUGUUUCUGUCAAACAAGCUACCACGGGGGUAACCGGCUUGUCAUGUGUGAGAGUUCACAUCGACCACAUGGUUUGGUACAUCGCGGUCGGCUCGCGUUAUCCUGGCGGUGCAGGAGCCGCCAAGGGUUGGGUUGUCCAUCCAUUAAAAACGCACGCUAGUUGGGUUCAGAACGUCGCGAGACAGUUCGGUGACAUCUCCUAAAAGUGCAUUGCUUUUUGAGGGUAAGGUUUUCCUAGUACGAGAGGAAUGGAAAACCGGCGCCUCUAGUUUUGCUGUUGUCUUACAAGGCACGCAGCGUAGCCACGCGCCACGCGGAUAAGUCCUGAAAGCAUCUAAGGACGAAGCCGCACCCAAAACGAAAAAGCUUAGACUGCUCGCAGUAUACGAGUUUGAUAGGGUUGAAGUGUAA
rnacentral:rRNA from 1 species